UGCUCCUGGUAAGUUUAUAAUUAUUUUUGAUUUUUUUUUGGGACAAUUCGGUUAUUUCAAUUAUUACGUGAUGAUUUUAUAGAAACUUCUUUAGGUGAGGAAUUUUUUCGUAUAUUAGAUAUACAAAUUGAUUUAAUUAGAUUAAAUUACAUAAAAGUUUAUUAUUUGACUUAAAAAAGAGACGGCGUCGUUUGGAUUGAAUAACCCUUUCUUCCCGUUCUCCAAGUUGGUAUCUGUGUGUUUCUCACACACGCACACUAACAAAUAACUAUUACCUUUCACUCCUUUAAUGUCAACGGCGAAACCCUAACCCUAAAAGUCCGCUUCGCCGGUUUACGCGUGUUCUUAAACGGUGGCUUUCGACUUCGUAAUUUGGGGAUAUUUUUUGAAGCAAUUUCAAGCACAACCAACUUCCAUCGAGUGACUUGAGUCUUCUUCAUUACUAGGUUAUAGCAAAGGCGUAGCUGAUGACAGACUCUCACAAAUAUAGUUAGGCUGAUGAGAGCAUUUUUCGAUAUCCUUGUGACCAAUGUAUAGCUUAUGUGAUCUUAAUUGUAAAGGCAUUGUAAUUGUGACCUUAAGGGUUUUAGACUUGUAAUAUUAUUCUUUUGGGACUAUAUUAUGUUUAUUUUGGACAAUGAUGUAAUGAUCUAUUUUAACCAUGGAUGGCUAAAUGAAUAUGAAUAUAAAUGGACUAUUUUGAUUAUGUAA